GCAAUACAUGGGCGGCGACCGGCAAACGGGUGCGGAACACGUACACAACCUUCCGAGAAGUGGGGAAUAGCCCAGAGAAAUUUGGAUUAAUACCCCGUAACAUAACGAUGUGGCAUCACAUUGUUAUUAUAGCUUCGGCGCUUCUUGAUGGGUGUGCGGCUGAUUAGAUAGUUGGCGGGGUAACGGCCCACCAAGUCUACGAUCAGUAGCUGAUGUGAGAGCAUGAUCAGCCACACGGGCACUGAGACACGGGCCCGACUCCUACGGGAGGCAGCAGUAAGGAAUAUUGGUCAAUGGACGCAAGUCUGAACCAGCCAUGCCGCGUGAAGGAUUAAGGUCCUCUGGAUUGUAAACUUCUUUUAUCUGGGACGAAAAAAGGCGAUUCUUCGUCACUUGACGGUACCAAGAUGAAUAAGCACCGGCUAACUCCGUGCCAGCAGCCGCGGUAAUACGGAGGGUGCAAGCGUUAUCCGGAUUCACUGGGUUUAAAGGGUGCGUAGGCGGGCAGGUAAGUCAGUGGUGAAAUCCUAGAGCUUAACUCUAGAACUGCCAUUGAUACUAUCUGUCUUGAAUAUUGUGGAGGUAAGCGGAAUAUGUCAUGUAGCGGUGAAAUGCUUAGAUAUGACAUAGAACACCUAUUGCGAAGGCAGCUUACUACGCAUAUAUUGACGCUGAGGCACGAAAGCGUGGGGAUCAAACAGGAUUAGAUACCCUGGUAGUCCACGCCCUAAACGAUGAUUACUCGACAUUUGUGAUACACUAUAAGUGUCUGAGCGAAAGCAUUAAGUAAUCCACCUGGGAAGUACGAUCGCAAGGUUGAAACUCAAAGGAAUUGGCGGGGGUCCGCACAAGCGGUGGAGCAUGUGGUUU
rnacentral:rRNA from 1 species